UUGACAGUCCUGAGACUGAAGUCCUCUAUUCAUGGAGCAGCUAGAGCCCAAGCAGCAGCAGCAAAGCUUCCUCAUGCUGCCCCUCAACCUUGACCUGGAGGGCUCACCUCUAGCGAUGAGCCGGGCUGGCGGCUCAGUUUCCAAGCCCCUUCAUUCUCUGGCCUCU
ensembl:misc_RNA